rnacentral:rRNA from 1 species
GAUGAACGCUGGCGGCGUGCCUAAUACAUGCAAGUCGAGCGAACGGACGAGAAGCUUGCUUCUCUGAUGUUAGCGGCGGACGGGUGAGUAACACGUGGCUAACCUACCUAUACGACUGGGAUAACUUCGGGAAACCGGCGCUAAUACCGGAUAAUAUUUUGAACCGCAUGGUUCAAAAGUGAAAGACGGUCUUGCUGUCACUUAUAGAUGGAUCCGCGCUGCAUUAGCUAGUUGGUAAGGUAACGGCUUACCAAGGCAACGAUGCAUAGCCGACCUGAGAGGGUGAUCGGCCACACUGGAACUGAGACACGGUCCAGACUCCUACGGGAGGCAGCAGUAGGGAAUCUUCCGCCAUGGGCGAAAGCCUGACGGAGCAACGCCGCGUGAGUGAUGAAGGUCUUCGGAUCGUAAAACUCUGUUAUUAGGGAAGAACAUAUGUGUAAGUAACUGUGCACAUCUUGACGGUACCUAAUCAGAAAGCCACGGCUAACUACGUG